rnacentral:rRNA from 1 species
GAUGAACGCUGGCGGCGUGCUUAACACAUGCAAGUCGAGCGAAGCACUUAAGUUUGAUUCUUCGGAUGAAGACUUUUGUGACUGAGCGGGCGACGGGUGAAGGUAACGCGUAGGGUAACCUGCCUCAUACAGGGGGAUAACAGUUAGAAAUGACUGCUAAUACCGCAUAAGACCACAGAGCCGCAUGGCUCAGGGGUCAAAGGAGAAAUCCGCUGAAGGAUGGCCUCGCGUCCGAUUAGCUAGAUGGCGGGGUAACGGCCCACCAUGGCGACGAUCGGUAGCCGGACUGAGAGGUUGAUCGGCCACAUUGGGACUGAGACACGGCCCAG